rnacentral:lncRNA from 1 species
CUGUCCUGCAUUUGGUCUUCAUGACUGUUAUCACCGGGAAGAAACCCGAGCCUAGCCUGUGACAGACCCGGGACUAGGACCGACACCUACAUAUUCGAAGUUCUCCAGGGGUCAGGUCAAGGAAAGAAGAGAGAUGGCAGAGAGGUCAAGGAAGGUCCGAAACCAGGUGGCCAAGGGGGCAGGAAAAAUACCGACAGAGAGGUGAAGCAAUUCCCAAGUCUUCCCAGCAGAGGGCGAUAGUACCCCAGAGCUCCGCAAACCUGCCCAGGCCACGCCCCCUGCCCGGCCCGGCCCGGCUCCUCCCGGGACCCGGGAGCCACAGGGACCCUUCCCGGGUUUCUAAAGGGUCUGAAGGGCGAGAGGAUGGGCGGCGGGUGGGGUGUGGCAAGAGAAUAAGGGAGGAUCCGUCGGAGAGGUUGCCCGGGGCAUGGUGUGGGUGUCUGCAACGGGGUCAAGUGUGCUGGGGCGCCGCGCGUCUGCGCCGGAAGAGCGAGCGCGUAAAGCGAGCUGGAGCUUCCAGCCAAACACAACCCAGAGUCCCCGUCUCCACCCCCACCCCAGCUAAUGAUGGCUGCACCCCCAAGCUGGUACCUGCCUCUGCAAAAUCAGCCCUCAGCCUCUCGGCUUCAGGGUUAGCAGACGUGAUUCCUCCCCACUUCCCCACUCCAGCCCAGUCUCUAAGCCUUCAGACUAAGUGGGGUUCCACGCAGAGAAGGUAUGCUGGUUGA